UUUUAGCAUUGAAUAAAACAUUCUGCUAACAAUGAAACCCUAUUUCCAGAUCACAUAACCUAGAAAAGCAAAAACAGCAUAAAAAAUUGGUGCGUCAAUGCAACGAACAUCAUCCACCAAAAAUUGAUAAUCCUGCUCAGUCUCGCAAACAUAGAAACAGCAUCACUAGAGUGAUCACAUCACAAGGUCUUUACAUCCGUUCCCAGCAUCAGCACCAGGGAGCAAACGUGCACAUCUGCAUCUGGGCAAAAUAAAUUCCUGUUUUUCCCCCGUAUUUUCUGUAUCCGCUUGCUCUCUAAUUACGAAGCAACAGGAAAAACUAGUUCCUGCUCAUCUCCAAGCGUCCGAGAACAUUUCCCGGAUAGCGCCAACAGCAUCACCAUCACCAUGUCCACCAUGGUCCAGGUGUGUUGGAGAUCCUCGGCGGCUGUAAAACCGGCUACAGAAACCGGAACCCACCCUGUGCUAUCUCUGUCACACCUCGCGCAUACUGUGCAGGACCUCACGUAGGAACAAACGAGAUCCUAGCGGUGGCUUUUGUUAAUCUUUGUAACGGCAGACCAAAAACCGGCUGCUGGAACUUAACGUCGAUCUUGACCAUGAUUUUACGCACGGAAAACAUUUUCCUGCUGAGCACUGUUUGAGCUAGAAAAUCAGUUCGCUCAAGUCCAUCUACCGUUCAACAUCACUUUAUUCUCCGGUGGCUCUAAAGCCUGCGCCUUCGAUCGGUACCGAUGGAAUCGUUGGACUUUGGUGUUCCGCACGGUUCCGUUACCAGUGUGCGCAGGGCAAUGUGAAGUUAGCAUGCGCGUGUAACAGUGCAGUGCAGAUCGUUCCAACCAGUGAAUGUUCCAACAGUGCAAUGUUGACUGCAAGUGUGGAGCCAACUAAAGUGCAAAAAUGGAUUACACGCAGAAGAACGUGGAAGAAAAAUCAAAGUGCAUCGUACACUAACAUUAAUAGCUAAAUUAUGUUGCAAAUAGCGAAAACACUUUCCCGAAGACACAAAAAAAACCCUCUGAACUCGAAACAGGACAACAGUCGUGCAGUGAAACCAAUAGUUUCGGCAGUAACAAAUUGCGUUUGAAUCUACAUACAAAAAUGGAGUGAAUAAAGUGACGUUGAACCUACACUUUGCAAUGGAAAACAAGAUAGAAGGAAUUGAACGAACUCACCAACCAGACAAACAACUAUCUGCAGUAUCACAUUUGGAGAAAAAAGAAACAUUCCCGAAAAAAGCACAUUUUUGAAGAAUUCCUGACAGAUAACGCAAAUCAGCUCAAACAUGACCGGCCAUAGGGCGUAUGCCCAAAACUGAUAUGCUAUUGCAAUGUCUAAUAACAUUGAUAUCCGGAUACAUUGAACAACCAGCGUAAUGACUGGCACAGAACGUACCAGACGUACCUUGAAGAUGCAUUUGAUUGCAACCCUUACCGUCGCCACAAUAUGCCAAAGCAACAACGAAAAAAAAAAACUCCGAAUAAUCAAGCUCGUUUAAAUCACCCAAAAGAACAGCGACCGAUGGAAAAGAAUGUUCAUUGAGAAUAAGCUACAGUUUGUGAAAGGAAGGCAAACAAAAUACAAAAAGCUCACCCCUGGGCGGCCCUGCUGGCCAGCCGGAGAUGAAACAGAACAGAAGAAGAAACAUCUACAAAAUCCCCCAAAUAAAGCGAAUGAUGCGCUCGAUGAAUAAAAUAUUGAUACGCCAUCUUGUCCAUCUUCACAGCGACAGUCGAGAGUAGUCGAUUUGUGCGAUCGACCACAAGGAAACGUCAUCUAGGGCGUAAAGACGGUCACGACGACCACGCCAUGCAGCAGCAGCAGCAGCAGCACGUGUCACCCAUACGCUUGCACACGCAAACACGCGUCGAAUAAAUUCCAAAUCCAUGCGCUCACCGACCUACACUCAUACUGAAAAAAAAGAACCAGAAACCACUUGCUUUCCAACGAACCAAUAUACGACACAAAAAGCGUACUUCAGCUACAAAAGAAAAACACGGUUCGGGAGACAUCAAUGUCUUAAUGUUUCGGCGUGUUCUUCCAACCUACUCCUCCCGGUGGUGGAGAAAAUUCAUCAGUUUCGGCUGGGAAAAUUUGGCGGGGAAAAUGUUGUCCCCUAUUUUCUUCGGCGCGUCUUUUAACGGCUUCCACACGUGGCCCGUACGGAGGAGAAAAUUCUAAACCAACAACCAGCGAGGGGAAAAUUUGGAUUCGGAUUUUCCCCAAUUUGCUUCGGUACAACGGGCACCGAAGAACCGAAGAGCAUCGGAAAAUUCAGCACACAGCACAACUGACAGCAAACGAUGGCGCGUGUGCGUUUGCAGCGUUUUUGCGGACCGCGGGUGAUACCAACGUGGGACAAUUCAUCACCGACGACCGGCGACCGGCCGAAGAAAACUUCCAUUCUACGAGAAAGCUUCCACGCGGCGUAAAGGAAAGCGCCGUACCCGGUGGGCUUGCAGAGAAGUAUAACACAACCGUAUUAUGAUUUUUUUUAUUUUUCGUUUCGUUUUCGUGACAUGUAAACCGGGUCCGGGUUGACCGGUUUGCACUGUUCUAUUAGAUUUUCUAUUUUUUCCUUUCGGUUGCAGUAUUUUUCUCUUUCUCUUUCUUUUAAAUAAGUAUAAUUGUGGUAUUUAUUUCGUUUUUUUGGAACAUAUGCCACCUUAUUUUGCUAAUGUUCAUUCGAACUUCAAACCGCAGUACAAAGUACAUGAAACGCCUUCGAAAUUCUAAUAGCCACUUGGAUUGCAAAAGAAGAAAUGAAAAACAAAACAAUAUUGUGAUAGAACAAAAAAGAACCAAAUCAAGAAAAUACAGAAUAAGCUAAAUUAUUACAAAAAAAAAUACUGAAGAAGAAGAAAAAACACAGUAAAACUAAAUCCAAAAAGCACACAAACACAAAAUUUUAUGUUUUAAAACAAACACGAAACACCACCACAACCACUCACUCUACACUCAAACGUAUGCAUCGCUCCAAUUUUAUACUUUACCUUAAUAAUAAUACCUUACUUUAAGUGGUUUAACACAUUAUUAAGCAGGGGAAAAACACAUAUUUCAAAAGAAACAUAACAGAACGGGAAAUUUAUGGGGGAUAAAGAAAAAAAUGCAUAGAAAACUGGAAAAAACACACGCUUAAGCCUAUCUAAGUUGGUCAGGGAUUAUUCUUUACAUUCUUCACAUCACCACAUACAAAACAACACAGGAUAGAAGAAGAAGAGGAAAAAACCAAAGUAAUAAUAAUAGCAGACCGAUUUUACCGGAUUGUUUUAGUUUCCUUUUAUUCUUUAAAAUGCAUGCACAAAACAAUAACACACAAACAUACUAAUUUUACGUUGUUUUUAACAAACACAUUAACACAUACUCAGGAUUUAGUUUUAGUAAACAUGCUUAACUUAAUUAAUCAAACCACCAAAAAAUGGAUAAGAAAAUAAUACAAUUGCACAACCUUAUCAUCUUCAAAAGAAAAAGGAAAAAGACAUACAAACCCCGUCCUUUCUUAUAGCAAUUUACUACCAUCCAACAAUCGCCAGAAACAAGAAACAAUAGCAAUAAACAAAAACUGGAAUGUUUUGUUUCGGAAAAACGUGUUUAACACAGUUAUAGAAAAUGAACAAAAAAAACGGUUGAUUCCAUUUACAAACAACGCACACUCGUACAAACCACUUACCCUUUUUUUGCUUCUUAAAACCAUUAUUACAAACACACGGACAUUGCAAGAAGCACCCAGUUUAUGGCAAUCUGUGUUGAUCAAUUCGCGUUAACACUAAAAUCUAAAACAAGAAAAAACAUAGAAAGUAGGUAAAUGAUUUGGCCAAACAAAACCACAUAAUGUAAUUAAUUAUGCAUUUGGAAUUUGUUAGCUCUAAAUCUGGAAAAAAAAUCCAAAAACAAACGAAUCAUACAAAAAACCCCAGCACACACGAAAGUCAAGUUGAAAACUAAAAUGUGAUAAUAAUGCUUUCUCUCUCUCACACACUUACUGUGUUUUGUUAAGCUAAAAUGAUGCAAAUCGAACGAAAAACACAAAAGCCAAAUAGUGAAAUGUUCUUUUUUAAACAAAAAUCAUUAAUAAAUCGUUGUACCAUUAUGGUGGGAUAGGAAAUAAAAGGAAACAAACAAACAUAAUAAUUAUAGCAAAAAAAAGAAACAAAAAGAAACAUUGCAGGUUGAGUUUGUUUAGCAAAAGAACAAAAACGAAUAGUUAAUUAUAUAAAAACAACCCAAAAAACGAAUUUGAAAAGAAGAAACCAUUCUUUGUUUGUCUGUGAUGUAAUUUUUCAAACAAGAGCUACAAUCGUGAUACAAAAGCAAAAGCAGUGUUUCAACUAAUCGACACUAAUUUAGUUGUAAUAGAGGCCAAAAGAAAUGCACACGCUACACAAUGUUUAAGCAAAAGAAGAAGAAGAAAAAACACUAAAAAGGAUUAUAUUUAUUGCAAAAAAGGCAUUCAUCAAUCAACCUGCAAUGCGCACAGUCAAAAGGAAAUGAAAACAAAACAGCAAAAAAAAUCUCCCAUUUACAGGAAACAUAAAAUCCUAUUGUUGAUAUUUAAGCGAAUUUAUUUUAAUUGUUAAAAGCUACCAAUUUAUUAUAUACCUGACCAGACCGGGUUAUUUUCGGAAAAUGGUACUGUUUGUUAAGCUUAAAGCUUUAAAUUAAUUAUUUGAACCGAAAAACCAACACACCCCACCGCUGGUACAUUGAAAUAGGGCAAAACAGUUGACAAACAGUUUGAACAGUUUUUUUUAAAUAGUUAAUUAAGAAAACACGACAGCAAACUCUCGAAACUAUAUGAAGAAACGUAGGAAAAUUCACACAACUUUAAUCUGAACAACAGAACGAGAACACUAAAAACACACUAACUGUUGGUAAAACAAAAGGAUACAACUUUGUGGACUGCUUUAGUGUACUGUUUCGACAUAUAGAAAAAAACAGGAAGAAAAAAGGCGAUAAAGUCUCUGUGUGCGACAAAAUUAAACAAUUAUCUGCGCACCCAAACGCUUUAGUAAGAUAAGUUUUUCAAACGUUUAAAACCCGUUGCUUCUUCGGCGCCUGCAGAAGAAGUACCGCUGGUCGCGAAAGAAGGCAUCCAGUUUUUGUAACGAUCCUAUUUAGUUUCUUGAUUUUGUUUCUGAUUAACACAACUAGCAUAAUUACAACUUCCCAACACUCUUCCACCAUCCAGAACUCCUUCUGUUCCUUCUCCUUUCUUCAGAUGCAAGGAGAUCGGAUCCUUGGAGUAUAUCGCCGUAUUUACCGGUGACUCCGAGCUGACUACGGUCGGCUCCGGAAAGGAAUGAGUACGUUUUCAAAACCGCGGAAUGAUACUAAACUGCUAUUUUCUUAAUCUUUCUAUUUCUAGACAGGGUCAUAAAAAAAGUGGGAAAAAGCACGUGAAUGCUUUCCAUACAAUCGCGAAAAUGUUGCUACUCGUUGUGAGAACUAUAUGGCACGGGCAUGGAACCGAACCGAACCGAGCGAACGAACUGAAACAAAACAAAAGCAAGUACCGUAACAAAAAAUGGAUUCAUUUCAGGGUUUACUUUUAAUAAUUAAUACAGAAAAUAAUCAGAAGAAAAACUCUCAUCUCAAGAGGCAGAAGUUCUAGCUAUUUCUCACACAAAUCUCAUUCUAUUUACCAAUUUCUUUAAUUCCCUCCAGUGCAUCUCUGAAGAAAAUCUUAUUUUUCCAAAUGCAAACCACUCAUACAACAUCCGGCUAAUACGUUGGUACGUUUUCCGGUCCCAAAAAAAGAAGAAGAAAAAAAUCACGAAAAAUCAAACGUCCACUAAUGGCUGCAGAAUGGAAUGAAGAGUGUUUUUCCAUCUUGCCAGCCCAUAAGAAGAUACAUCCAUCCGGUUAGCCAGCGGAUGGGGGUUUGUUUUUGGGGGAUCGAUCUGCGUGUCGUUCGUUCCCCUUUACUCCUUCUCGCAUAAACGGCCGGCUAAUGGUGGAAAGGGAUAAAAUUUCAUUUUUCAUUCCUUCCCUGUAAGCACGUGGCACGUAAGACAGUUAGGUUUCCAAUGUUUAAGAAACUCAUUAAACCCAUAUAAUGGCAAGAUCACCACAAAAUUCCAAACAUAACAAUGGAAAAGAAUUUAAAAGAUACAACAAACAAAAAAUCGAACAAUAUUUCAACUAUCAGAAGCGAGCAAAAUCACAAAAAAAAUAAAGCACGGUACAGAACCGACGCAAUCCAGAUCAAGUGUGGUGUCUAUCAAAAAUUAAUAAUACAUAACAGGGCAACAACAUUUCACGGUAAGGAAUUUCGGUCUAUCGUGUCCUGGUUUGGGACUCGGACUGUGCGGAAAAUUGUUAACGUUUAGGACGAAAAAACGCGGAAGGGGAACAGAGGUUUAGAUUUGCGAAAUUCUCUUUGAUGCAAAAUCUAUUACCAACCAAAUCGGCCAAACUACAUCGCGCAAAUCUUCUCGACAGAAGUCUAAGAGGAACGCUACCCAAUGUUUUGGGUGCGUAUCCAUUCCGGCUAAGAAAGGGAUAAGUCGUGCAAAAUGCACCGCAAGCUUUACGCUUCAUUGAAUAUGAAUACAUUUCUGAGAGGAAUGAGAGAACGUCUGGAAACGAAUUACGGGCCAACUCUUUUGCGGCGCCUUAGUUACUGGUCAAAUAUAUUAAUUAAUUAUUUUCAGCGAACCAAAAACCACAAAACAGACAUACAUCAAUAAUGAAAAUAAUAAGAAAUUUUGAAAUUUACAAUAAAAAAAACAUAAAAGAAAUUCAAAACUAAAAUUGUCUCUCCAAACCUUCAAAUCAUAGCAAAAAAACAAAUGAAAUGAUGAAAACAUAUGAAAAACUCUAAAAAAAAUAGUCUAUGAGAUCUUGAACAUUCAAAUUCAAAUAACUUAAUCAGUAAAACAAAUAUAAAAAUAUAAUAACUUGUCAAAAAUAACUAAAACAAAAUGAAAUAUAGUGAAAACAAAACAUACACAAGAAGAUCAUCAAAAUCAGACAUAAGAAUCUCAAACUAAAAUUCCAAAAAAAGAUAGAACAAAAAGAGCACUUUGAUAUAGAAUAACCAACAAACAUUUCAGCUAAAAUAUAAAAUAGGAAAUCAGUCAACAAAAAUCAUCAACAAAAAACUUGUUCUGCGAGAAGUAUUGCGCGUAUGAUGUAUAGCCUCAUCAAAAGCAAAAACCAAAAUACAAAAAGCAAAAACUUAAAAUUACACUUAAAUUCAAAAGCUUAAAGACACUUGAAUGUUACACUAAAUCACUCACCUAAAAGUAACCUUCCCCAUCGCACACAAACCACGGCGUGAAACUCCUUUCGGUAGAAACAAUUUCCGGGCAAAGACGUUUUUCGUACCGGCUGGUGUAACCGGUCACCUUUAAAAGAGAACCUCAACACAUACCAUGUACCACACUUGCCUGCAAUCUUGGCGUGUGUCGAUCUUCUGUGCCGUGUGCACGGAAAUGUAAUCAAAUUAUUCGUAAUAGCAAAGUGAACGAAAUAUUUUGUUAAUUAACCUCUCAAAACGACUGACCACGGAGUGGUCCACCUACUACUACGUUUUCGGGGCGUGCUACUGAUGAUGCCUGAACACCCGUUGACCCGCCGUCUUUCUUGUCGAUGGCGAUGAAUUGUCACAAGGGUAGCUCCACGCGCUCACAUUCCUACACGAAACGUAAAGCUCGUAUAUGAAAGAUACUAAAAUCGUAUAAGAGAAAAAAAGAACCAUCCCUCCAGAACGGCAAAGACACCAGAAACUUAGGUCCUAGACGACAUUCUAGGCCAAUCUUCAAACAAAUUUCCUCCUUUGGAAAAUUAUUUCAACAACCGGCGCUUUCGUCCGAGCUCGCAAGUAGUGUUUCGGGACAUGAGUGAUGAUGCAUCAAAACUUACCAGUUUUUGGGCACAGUUUGUAUGACCCUGAUCGUGUGGUAGGUGGAAACUCUUACCAUCGAAGAAGAAAAAAAAGUGUAACAAAAAAACACAAGAUGCAGUAAAGCAAUUUAUGUUUUCAUUUGCUUAAGUUACAGGACAACCCCACCUUUCCGUUCGGUUUAAUUUGUGUGAGAAAAGUGCUCUGAAUUCUCUGUCGCUUGAUACCGUUUGUACAACCGUUUUCGUUGGUGACAACGAAGAAGAAAAUAAACACCGCGCCAGAACACACUUCUUAAGUAACAGAACAAACCAAAAUAGAUAGAGAUGGGAGCUAAAUCGUCAUAUUAGUAAAACCACGAAAAACUCUUUAUUUACAGUUUAAAAAAACAUAAAAAAGUGGGUUUUUGUUUUAACAUUAAUAAAUAUCUUGCAAGUAAAGUAACAUUCACAAACAAAUUCUGAUAAAAACAAACCUUCAAAACAUAAAAGUAAAUAGCAAAAUCAAAAAUAGAUGAAAAAAA